CGUGUCGUGAGAUGUGGUUAGUCCGCAACGAGCGCAACCCUUAUUGCUAGUUACCAUCAUUAAGUUGGGGACGUCUAGCGAGACUGCCAGUGAUAAACUGGAGGAAGGUGGGGAUGACGUCAAAUCAUCAUGCCCCUUAUGACCUGGGCUACAAACGUGAUACAAUGGCUGAAACAAAGGGCAGCGAAGCAGUGAUGUGGAGCGAAACCCAAAAAGCAGUCUCAGUUCGGAUUGAAGUCUGCAACUCGACUUCAUGAAGUCGGAAUCGCUAGUAAUCGCGGAUCAGAACGCCGCGGUGAAUACGUUCUCGGGGUUU
rnacentral:rRNA from 1 species